rnacentral:rRNA from 1 species
UACAGAGGGUGCAAGCGUUAAUCGGAAUUACUGGGCGUAAAGCGUGCGUAGACGGUAGCGUAAGUCGGGUGUGAAAGCCCCGGGCUCAACCUGGGAAUUGCAUUCGAGACUGCUCUGCUAGGGUGCGGAAGAGGGGAGCGGAAUUUCCGGUGUAGCGGUGAAAUGCGUAGAUAUCGUAAGGAAGACCAGUGGCGAAGGCGGGUCUCUGGACAGUUCCUGACGCUGAGGCACGAAGGUCAGGGGAGCAAACGGG